rnacentral:tRNA from 1 species
GCCGCUGUGGUGGAAUUGGUAGACACGUUGGACUUAAAAUCCAAUGGAGCUUAAAACUCCGUACCGGUUCGAGUCCGGUCAGCGGUA